rnacentral:lncRNA from 1 species
GGAGGGGGCAGUGUCCCGUGGCCCCUCCUUAACUGCUCCCUCCCCCUGGCUGCAGGAAGGCUGGAGCAGGUGUGAGGAGCUGUGGGUGCAACAGCUCCCCCUACAGGCCCGGGAGCAGCGCGGCACUGCCCAGCUGGCCUCCCUCCUCCAGGAGAUGCACCGGCUGCUGGCGGACGGCUCGGAGCGCGCCAUCCUUGCCAGGGCGAAAAGCAGCAGCACGUCUGGGCGCUGAUCAAAGGCACCUCCUACAUCAAAUCCCAGCUCCGCAAGGACCAGGCCGAGGCCUUCGUGCAGAGGAAGCUGCUGGGCCCGGAGCAGGACGUGACGCUGGAGUCGCAGCGGCUGCACGGGGGGGGUGGAGCGCGAGGUCCGGCAGCUGGGGGCCAUCGCCCUCCCCUGCCUUCUGCGCCGCAGCCUCCUGGGGUGAGUCCCCCACCCCCCGCUCUGUCUGAACUGCCCCGUCCCCCCCGUCCUCUCUUGGGGUGCCCCAGGGGCUGGAUCCCCAUAUGGGGGGAGCUCCC